rnacentral:rRNA from 1 species
CGCGGCCUAUCAGCUUGUUGGUGGGGUAAUGGCCUACCAAAGGCGACGACGGGUAGCCGGCCUGAGAGGGUGACCGGCCACACUGGGACUGAGACACGGCCCAGACUCCUACGGGAGGCAGCAGUGGGGAAUAUUGCACAAUGGGCGCAAGCCUGAUGCAGCGACGCCGCGUGAGGGAUGACGGCCUUCGGGUUGUAAACCUCUUUCAGUAGGGAAGAAGCCCUUUUUGGGGGUGACGGUACUUGCAGAAGAAGCGCCGGCUAACUACGUGCCAGCAGCCGCGGUAAUACGUAGGGCGCAAGCGUUGUCCGGAAUUAUUGGGCGUAAAGAGCUCGUAGGCGGCUUGUCACGUCGGAUGUGAAAGCCCGAGGCUUAACCUCGGGUCUGCAUUCGAUACGGGCUAGCUAGAGUGUGGUAGGGGAGAUCGGAAUUCCUGGUGUAGCGGUGAAAUGCGCAGAUAUCAGGAGGAACACCGGUGGCGAAGGCGGAUCUCUGGGCCAUUACUGACGCUGAGGAGCGAAAGCGUGGGGAGCGAACAGGAUUAGAUACCCUGGUAGUCCACGCCGUAAACGUUGGGAACUAGGUGUUGGCGACAUUCCACGUCGUCGGUGCCGCAGCUAACGCAUUAAGUUCCCCGCCUGGGGAGUACGG